rnacentral:lncRNA from 1 species
GGUUCCGGAAAGUAAGCGGGUUCUAUAGUAAACUUGGAACUUGAAGUUCUUCCAAGAUCUUGUGGUAUGUCCUCAUAUGUCGAGGACAAGACUUUUCUAUUCUAGUUUUAUGAUAAGAUUCUUGUAAUAGACUUAAUAGACUUCUUUUGAUUGUAAAGGGCCGUGUCCCUAGUAUGUUUUCACGUUUAUGUCUAAGAUGGCUAAGAGACUUAGUAUUCCG